rnacentral:rRNA from 1 species
GACGAAGGUGGCGACCGUUGUUCGGAAUCACUGGGCAUAAAGCGCGCGUAGGCGGCAAAGUAAGUCGGGUGUGAAAUCCCUCGGCCUAACCGAGGAACUGCGCUCGAAACUACUUUGCUUGAGGACGGAAGGGGAGUGUGGAAUUCCUGGUGGAGCGGUGAAAUGCGUUGAUAUCAGGAGGAACACCGGCGGCGAAGGCGACACUCUGGUCCGUUUCUGACGCUGAGGCGCGAAAGCUAGGGGAGCAAACGGG